rnacentral:rRNA from 1 species
CCUACGGGUGGCUGCAGUGAGGAAUAUUGGUCAAUGGACGCAAGCCUGAACCAGCCAAGUAGCGUGCAGGAUGACUGCCCUACGGGUUGUAAACUUCUUUUAUAAAAGGAUAAAGUGAGGCACGUGUGCCUUUUUGUAUGUACUUUAUGAAUAAGGAUCGGCUAACUCCGUGCCAGCAGCCGCGGUAAUACGGAGGAUCCAAGCGUUAUCCGGAUUUAUUGGGUUUAAAGGGAGCGUAGAUGGGUUGUUAAGUCAGUUGUGAAAUUUUGCGGCUCAACCGUAAAAUUGCAAUUGAUACUGGCAGCCGUGAGUACAGUUGAGGUAGGCGGAAUGUGUGGUGUAGCGGUGAAAUGCUUAGAUAUCACGAAGAACUCCGAUUGCGAAGGCAGCUUACUAAACUGUCACUGACAUUGAGGCUCGAAAGUGUGGGUAUCAAACAGGAUUAGAUACCCGAGUAGUC